rnacentral:lncRNA from 1 species
GUUUAUUUAUUGAGAAGAGUCGACUUUCUGUUCUGACAAGUUCUAGUUCUUUGACUUCUUUCUGUUUGAGCUUCUGUUCGAGAACGGACAUUAGGUUGAUGUCUGACCUGUUUGCAUGCAGAUGGUUUCGUUGCAGCCAGCUGGUGAAAGGGAAGGUCAAGUUGACCUGCAGCUACUGCAAAUAGGACUUUUUUCAUCCUAAAGGGUGAAAUUGUUACAUAAAGGUUUCAUUAAAAUGUUAGGUCCAAGUUUAACCCUGAUCUGAAUAAUCUGAUGUAGGAAGUUAUUAAUGUAAAAGCAGAUAAAAUGGCUUUAUGCUGGGGUUUUUGUAAAAGUCACCUGCUUGUUAAGCAUGUGAUAAGUUAGAAUUUUCUUUCUGAUCUACCUGGAACACAAAUAACCAUCUCUUUUCACAAAAUUUUGAAUACAACUUUGUCUUGUGGUUUUUUGUAGUAUUUUAAUUUGCUUGGAUUGAAAUUUUAAGUUGAACACUAGACAUAUUGUCUUCCUUUACACGUUUUUUAAACAUUUGGUUGACUGUACAAUCUGUUAAUUCAUCAUGUUGAUCUUCUACUCAAACAUCUUUAACUACUGUUCUAUCUAAAUUUAAUAUUUCGCUUUGUGCAUAUUGAAGUUUAAAUAUAUUAUCUUAUCUUUCAAAUUCAUCCAUUAACUUGUGUAAAAUUUGCCUUUAUUAUUGUAGUUUCAUAAGGCAAAAAUUAAUAAAUAUUUAAAAAUAUAGCCUUUAUUUCCAGAAAAAACAUAACAAAUUUAAUAUAAUUUCAAUUGCAAAAAUAAUUACGAUGACACACUUGACACCUACCUAAACUAAUCCAUAAAAAGUUGAACAUAUAUGUGAAAGGGAAAGUAAUAGAAAAUGGAGAGGACUGCUGCCUUACCAAUUUAAUUAGAUGCCAAGUCCCUAGAGUGAGGAUCGAAUGAGCCAGGGACGUGCUGUUGUGAGACAAGAUAGUGUAGAAAGGACUUUACAUCUUCGCCAUCAUUUGUGAUUAUUAACAUUUGCUGUUGCCUUUGCCUUACAGUAUGACACAAUGAAUAGAAACACAUUCUGAAUAACGGUAGCACCUUACCAACUUGGUGUUUUUCCUUUCAGCAAUCCACUGUUCAAGUGCUGUUGCCCGGGUGCUGAAACGUAUGGAAUCAUUUACUGAUGCCAUAGAGGAGGCACGUGAACGAAUAUCACUGCCUUCCCAGUUCCCAUCAUUGUAGAAGUUGGACUGGCGUCCAUUAUCACCUCGGGGAUUUCGUCUGUUGUGAUUCUGCGUGGUGGCUUCUUGGUGAAAUUUUACGGGGAGAAUAUUACAUGGCGUGGUGAUUGUGUCAUUUAUGGAAUGGCGGUUUGCUGUCAAAAGUUAAGCUAUCCUUUCUUCGAAAAUUACCAACAAAUUCAUA